rnacentral:rRNA from 1 species
GACGAACGCUGGCGGCGUGCUUAACACAUGCAAGUCGAGCGGUAAGGCCCUUUCGGGGGUACACGAGCGGCGAACGGGUGAGUAACACGUGGGUGACCUGCCCUCAGCUCUGGGAUAAGCCUGGGAAACCGGGUCUAAUACCGGAUAUGACUCCAUGACGCAUGUUGUGGGGUGGAAAGCCUUGUGCGGCUGAGGAUGGGCCCGCGGCCUAUCAGCUUGUUGGUGGGGUGAUGGCCUACCAAGGCGACGACGGGUAGCCGGCCUGAGAGGGCGACCGGCCACACUGGGACUGCGACACGGCCCAGACUCCUACGGGAGGCAGCAGUGGGGAAUCUUGCGCAAUGGGCGAAAGCCUGACGCAGCGACGCCGCGUGAGGGAUGACGGCCU